GUGUCAGCAGCCGCGGUAAUACGUAGGUGGCAAGCGUUGUCCGGAUUUACUGGGCGUAAAGCGCGCGCAGGCGGCUUGUUAAGUCUGCUGUGAAACCUCCCGGCUUAACUGGGAGCAGCCAGCGGAUACUGGCAGGCUUGAGGCGAGCAGAGGAAGGUGGAAUUCCCGGUGUAGUGGUGAAAUGCGUAGAUAUCGGGAGGAACACCAGUGGCGAAGGCGGCCUUCUGGGCUCGUCCUGACGCUGAGGCGCGAAAGCGUGGGGAGCGAACCGGAUUAGAUACCCGGGUAGUCCACGCCGUAAACGAUGGGUACUAGAUGUGGGGGGUAUCGACCCCCUCCGUGUCGUAGCUAACGCGUUAAGUACCCCGCCUGGGGAGUACGGCCGCAAGGCUAAA
rnacentral:rRNA from 1 species